rnacentral:rRNA from 1 species
UACAGAGGGUGCAAGCGUUAAUCGGAUUUACUGGGCGUAAAGCGCGCGUAGGCGGCUAAUUAAGUCAAUUGUGAAAUCCCCGAGCUUAACUUGGGAAUUGCAUUCGAUACUGGUUAGCUAGAGUGUGGGAGAGGAUGGUAGAAUUCCAGGUGUAGCGGUGAAAUGCGUAGAGAUCUGGAGGAAUACCGAUGGCGAAGGCAGCCAUCUGGCCUAACACUGACGCUGAGGUGCGAAAGCAUGGGGAGCAAACAGG